rnacentral:rRNA from 1 species
GACGAACGCUGGCGGCGUGCCUAACACAUGCAAGUCGAACGGAGUUAAAUUCGACACCCGAGUAUCCGGCCGGGAGGCGGGGUGCUGGGGGUUGGAUUUAACUUAGUGGCGGACGGGUGAGUAACGCGUGAGUAACCUGCCUUUCAGAGGGGGAUAACGUUCUGAAAAGAACGCUAAUACCGCAUAACAUCAAUUUAUCGCAUGAUAGGUUGAUCAAAGGAGCAAUCCGCUGGAAGAUGGACUCGCGUCCGAUUAGCCAGUUGGCGGGGUAACGGCCCACCAAAGCGACGAUCGGUAGCCGGACUGAGAGGUUGAACGGCCACAUUGGGACUGAGACACGGCCCAGACUCCUACGGGAGGCAGCAGUGGGGGAUAUUGCACAAUGGGGGAAACCCUGAUGCAGCAACGCCGCGUGAGGGAAGAAGGUUUUCGGAUUGUAAACCUCUGUUCUUAGUGACGAUAAUGACGGUAGCUAAGGAGAAAGCUC